rnacentral:rRNA from 1 species
GAUGAACGCUGGCGGCGUGCUUAACACAUGCAAGUCGAACGGUGAAGCAGAGCUUUCUCUCUUUCUCGGUGGCUUACGGGUGAGUAACACAUGAGCAACCUGCCCCUGACGCUGGGGUAAGCGCUGGAUACGGCCUCUAAUUCUUGCUAUAUACUGCUACCGCAUGGUUAAUAUCUGCUCAGAUUUUUCGGUCUGGGCUGGGCCCACGGCCUAUCAGCUUUUUGGUGAGGUUAUUGCUCACCCAGGCGACGACGGGUAGCCGGCCUGAGAGGGUGACAGGCCACACUGGGACUGAGACACGGCCCAGACUCAUACGGGAGGAAGCAGUGGGGAAUAGUGCACAAAGGGCGAAAGCCGGAUGCAGCAACGCCGGGUGGGGGAUGACGGCCGUCGGGUUGUAAAGCGCGUGUGGCAGGGAAGAAGCGAAAGUGACGGUACCUGCAGAAAAAGCGCCGGCUAACUACGUG